ACAUGCAAGUCGAGCGGCAGCGACAACAUUGAACCUUCGGGGGAUUUGUUGGGCGGCGAGCGGCGGACGGGUGAGUAAUGCUUGGGAAUAUGCCUUAUGGUGGGGGACAACAGUUGGAAACGACUGCUAAUACCGCAUGAUGUCUACGGACCAAAGUGGGGGACCUUCGGGCCUCACGCCAUAAGAUUAGCCCAAGUGGGAUUAGCUAGUUGGUGAGGUAAUGGCUCACCAAGGCGACGAUCCCUAGCUGGUUUGAGAGGAUGAUCAGCCACACUGGGACUGAGACACGGCCCAGACUCCUACGGGAGGCAGCAGUGGGGAAUAUUGCACAAUGGGCGCAAGCCUGAUGCAGCCAUGCCGCGUGUGUGAAGAAGGCCUUCGGGUUGUAAAGCACUUUCAGUAAGGAGGAAAGGUUAAGUGUUAAUAGCACUUAGCUGUGACGUUACUUACAGAAGAAGCACCGGCUAACUCCGUGCCAGCAGCCGCGGUAAUACGGAGGGUGCGAGCGUUAAUCGGAAUUACUGGGCGUAAAGCGUACGCAGGCGGUCUGUUAAGCGAGAUGUGAAAGCCCCGGGCUCAACCUGGGAACUGCAUUUCGAACUGGCAAACUAGAGUGUGAUAGAGGGUGGUAGAAUUUCAGGGU
rnacentral:rRNA from 1 species